GAGGGACCAGGUGAAGAUCUCGGCCACCUCUGCCCUGGGCUACAUGUUGCGUCACAUUUACAAAUUCAAGCCUGGACUCUCCACCAGAAGAGAGAUCUACAGUUUCCUAGUCCCGCUGCUGCUUAGCUUUCAGGAUAACAACCCUGAGGUAGUCAAGGCCUGCGGAGGGGCCCUAAGUGGACCACUGUGAUCGGCUGGUCAUCACUCACCCAGAUAGUCAAGCAUGCCACCCUCAGCGAUCACAUCCAGGUGUUGGAAGAGACAUGCAAGUACCUGGUGAGCACAAGCAAAACCCAGCUGGUGAGGGACUUACUGUCCCAGAGCUUUGACUUCCUGAAGAGCCCUCAGUCCUUCCUAAGGGCAGCUGCCAUCAACUUAAUAGCUGUUGGAAGUCUGAGGAAUGAUCCUGUGGAGUCUGUGCAGUCUUUGGUCAAUACAACUCUGAAAAAAAUUGAUGAAUAUGUUAACCCCGGGUUUGUCGCUACUUCCAGGUUGAGCCAGCUGAGUAAUAACAUCUUCAAGGUCACAGGCAUGAAAACCCCAAAAAGAAAGAAGCGGCUAUUUAAGAGUGUCAAAUGGGAAAGAGAUGACAAUCAGAAAAUCUGGAAGUGGCUUCAAAGCCCUCUGAAUCCACUGCGCAAGCGGUCCAAUAGGAGGGUGAAAAAUAGUCCAGUCAUAAUAGGCAAUUCAGAGAUCACACAUCCCGACGUCUGGAAGUCCACCUGCAGAGGCCGGGGCCGCCUAAACUAAGUUGCUCCAACUGCUCUGGAACUAAAGCCUUUUCCAUUUGUUUGUCCAGAUGUCAGGACUUUGCCUCCCAGUAGCUCUCCGACCAUAGUCCCACCAGAUGGGCUACUUUAGGAUUACACCCAAGGAGGCACUUUUGAUCUUAGAAGACACAGUGUGUUUCUGGUCCUUUGUCUCCCUUGGGGAUUUCUGGCCACCAGCAUAUUCAUUUGUCAAUAAAACUUAUUUGCUCAUCCUAAGACAA